UCCCGGUUAGCUCAAUUGGUCAGAGCGUCGGACUUUUAGACCCGGAGCUCAGUUUGGGCUUGGGCUAUAGCUAUCCGAAGGCUGCGAGUUCGACCCUCGCAUCGGGAG
rnacentral:tRNA from 2 species